CAGUAGCCACGGGAAUACGAAGGGUGCAAGCGUUAAUCGGAAUUACUGGGCGUAAAGCGUGCGUAGGCGGUGAGUUAAGUCUGCUGUGAAAUCCCCGGGCUCAACCUGGGAAUGGCAGUGGAUACUGGCUCGCUAGAGUGUGUCAGAGGAUGGUGGAAUUCCCGGUGUAGCGGUGAAAUGCGUAGAGAUCGGGAGGAACAUCAGUGGCGAAGGCGGCCAUCUGGGACAACACUGACGCUGAGGCACGAAAGCGUGGGGAGCAAACGGGAUUAGAUACCCCUGUAGUACCUGUCUCUUAUAC
rnacentral:rRNA from 1 species